AACCCCGGUGUUUGGCUGUCUGGGCUGUGAAAGUGCACUUCACUACGGCGCCAGGGCGUCCCAGAGAGGAGCUCCUGAGCAGGCUUGUUCAGCUCCCGCGCUGCAAGAUAAGUACGUAUCCCAAAUGGUCGUGGGUAGCGCGGGCUGCUGACGGCUGACGGGUGAGAAACUGGCUGACACAGGCUCCCGUGUGCUCCGGUUAAAGGCGCGAAUCGCGGUCGUUUCGUUCCUCGUUUCCGCUACUAAGUAAUCUAAGGUUCGUAGUAGAGAAUACGUUACCUGAGGGGCACGUGUGGCUCCCGGGUGACGAAGUCUUAAGCAACAAGGAACCACGGCUAGCGUGGCUCGAUGCCAGCCAACCGGUGGUUGUACCCCGGAUCCUCUGCCCGUGCAACUGUGCAAGUGUUGGUAGGCAACAAGUUACGAGAGAGUUGUU
rnacentral:rRNA from 1 species